rnacentral:rRNA from 1 species
CCUACGGGAGGCAGCAGUGAGGAAUAUUGGUCAAUGGGCGUAAGCCUGAACCAGCCAAGUCGCGUGAGGGAUGAAGGUUCUAUGGAUCGUAAACCUCUUUUAUAAGGGAAUAAAGUGUGGGACGUGUCCUGUUUUGUAUGUACCUUAUGAAUAAGGAUCGGCUAACUCCGUGCCAGCAGCCGCGGUAAUACGGAGGAACCGAGCGUUAUCCGGAUUUAUUGGGUUUAAAGGGUGCGUAGGCGGCCUUUUAAGUCAGCGGUGAAAGUCUGUGGCUCAACCAUAGAAUUGCCGUUGAAACUGGGAGGCUUGAGUAUGUGUGAGGCAGGCGGAAUGCGUGGUGUAGCGGUGAAAGGCUUAGAUAUCACGCAGAACCCCGAUUGCGAAGGCAGCCUGCCAAGCCAUGACUGACGCUGAUGCACGAAAGCGGGGGGAUCAAACAGGAUUAGAUACCCCAGUAGUC